rnacentral:rRNA from 1 species
GUUGUAUGGUUAAGUGAUUAAGCGUACACGGUGGAUGCCUAGGCAGUUGGAGGCGAUGAAGGACGUACUAACUUGCGAUAAGCCAUGAUGAGCCAGUAAGAGGCAGUUGAGUCAUGGAUUUCCGAAUGGGGAAACCCAGUGCAUUUAUGCACUAUCGUUAACUGAAUACAUAGGUUAACGAGGCAAACCCGGGGAACUGAAACAUCUAAGUACCCGGAGGAACAGAAAUCAAUUGAGAUCCCCUUAGUAGCGGCGAGCGAACGGGGGCCAGCCAUCAAGUUUUAGCAUCGGUGUUAGUGGAAGGCUCUGGAAAGUGCCGCGAUACCGGGUGAUAGCCCCGUACACGAAAGCACUGGUGUGGAACUAAGCUUGAGAUAAGUAGGUCGGGACACGUGUUAUCCUGACUGAAGAUGGGGGGACCAUCCUCCAAGGCUAAAUACUCCCAACUGACCGAUAGUGAACCAGUACCGUGAGGGAAAGGCGAAAAGAACCCCUGUGAGGGGAGUGAAAUAGAACCUGAAACCGUGUACGUACAAGCAGUAGGAGCACCUUCGUGGUGUGACUGCGUACCUUUUGUAUAAUGGGUCAGCGACUUACAUUUUGUAGCAAGGUUAACCGAAUAGGGUAGCCGUAGGGAAACCGAGUCUUAACUGGGCGCUUAGUUGCAAGGUGUAGACCCGAAACCGGGCGAUCUAUCCAUGGGCAGGUUGAAGAUUGAGUAACAUCAAUUGGAGGACCGAACUCACUAAUGUUGAAAAAUUAGGAGAUGACCUGUGGCUAGGAGUGAAAGGCUAAUCAAGCCCGGAGAUAGCUGGUUCUCCCCGAAAUCUAUUUAGGUAGAGCCUCGGAUGAAUACCACUGGGGGUAGAGCACUGUUUCGGCUAGGGGGUCAUCCCGACUUACCAACCCGAUGCAAACUCCGAAUACCAGUGAGUACUAUCCGGGAGACACACGGCGGGUGCUAACGUUCGUCGUGGAGAGGGAAACAACCCAGACCGCCAGCUAAGGUCCCGAAGUCAUGGUUAAGUGGGAAACGAUGUGGGAAGGCACAGACAGCUAGGAGGUUGGCUUAGAAGCAGCCACCCUUUAAAGAAAGCGUAAUAGCUCACUAGUCGAGUCGGCCUGCGCGGAAGAUGUAACGGGGCUAAACCAUGCACCGAAGCUGCGGAUUUAAUCUUAGGAUUAAGUGGUAGGGGAGCGUUGUGUAAGCUGUUGAAGGUGAAUCGAGAGGUUUGCUGGAGGUAUCACAAGUGCGAAUGCUGACAUGAGUAACGAUAAUGGGGGUGAAAAACCCCCACGCCGGAAGACCAAGGGUUCCUAUCCCAUGCUAAUCAGGGUAGGGUAAGUCGGCCCCUAAGGCGAGGCGGAAACGCGUAGUCGAUGGGAAACGGGUUAAUAUUCCCGUACUGUAAAUGUAUUGCGAUGGGGUGACGGAGUAGGCUAGGUAAUCGCGGCGUUGGUAGUCCGCGUGAAAGUGAGUAGGUUGGUGGUUUAGGCAAAUCCGGACCGCCCUCUUUAGUGAGGAGACUGAGACACGAGACGAGUCCCCAAGGGGAUGAAGUUACUGAUGCCAUGCUUCCAGGAAAACCCUCUAAGCUUCAGAUACAUUUGAACCGUACCCGAAACCGACACAGGUGGUCAGGUAGAGAAUACUAAGGCGCUUGAGAGAACUCGGGUGAAGGAACUAGGCAAAAUAGUACCGUAACUUCGGGAGAAGGUACGCCGCUGUUGGUGAUGAGCUUCGCGCUCUGAGCUGAUAGCGGUCGCAGCGACCAGGUGGCUGGGACUGUUUAUUAAAAACACAGCACUCUGCUAAAACGAAAGUUGACGUAUAGGGUGUGACACCUGCCCGGUGCCGGAAGGUUAAUUGAUGGGGUUAGUCUUCGGACGAAGCUCUUGAUCGAAGCCCCGGUAAACGGCGGCCGUAACUAUAACGGUCCUAAGGUAGCGAAAUUCCUUGUCGGGUAAGUUCCGACCUGCACGAAUGGUGUAACCAUGGCCACGCUGUCUCCACCCGAGACUCAGUGAAAUUGAAAUCGCAGUGAAGAUGCUGUGUACCCGCGGCUAGACGGAAAGACCCCGUGAACCUUUACUACAGCUUGGCACUGAACAUUGAACCUACAUGUGUAGGAUAGGUGGGAGGCUUUGAAGCAUUGGCGCUAGUUGAUGUGGAGCCACCCUUGAAAUACCACCCUUGUAUGUUUGAUGUUCUAACGUUGGCCCCUUAUCGGGGUUGCGGACAGUGCCUGGUGGGUAGUUUGACUGGGGCGGUCUCCUCCCAAAGAGUAACGGAGGAGCACGAAGGUUGGCUAAGUACGGUCGGACAUCGUACGGUUAGUGCAAUGGCAUAAGCCAGCUUAACUGCGAGACAGACACGUCGAGCAGGUGCGAAAGCAGGUCAUAGUGAUCCGGUGGUUCUGAAUGGAAGGGCCAUCGCUCAACGGAUAAAAGGUACUCCGGGGAUAACAGGCUGAUACCGCCCAAGAGUUCAUAUCGACGGCGGUGUUUGGCACCUCGAUGUCGGCUCAUCACAUCCUGGGGCUGAAGUCGGUCCCAAGGGUAUGGCUGUUCGCCAUUUAAAGUGGUACGCGAGCUGGGUUUAGAACGUCGUGAGACAGUUCGGUCCCUAUCUGCCGUGGGCGUUUGAGAAUUGAGAGGGGUUGCUCCUAGUACGAGAGGACCGGAGUGAACGAACCGCUGGUGUUCGGGUUGUCAUGCCAAUGGCACUGCCCGGUAGCUACGUUCGGAAUCGAUAACCGCUGAAAGCAUCUAAGCGGGAAGCGAGCCUCGAGAUGAGUUCUCACUGGAACGUAAGUUCCCUAAAGGGUUGUUGAAGACUACAACGUUGAUAGGCAGGGUGUGGAAGCGCAGUAAUGUGUUGAGCUAACCUGUACUAAUUGCCCGUGAGGCUUAACCAUACAACACCAAAAAGGUUUUG